AGUGAACGCUGGCGGUAGGCCUAACACAUGCAAGUCGAACGGCAGCACAGUAAGAGCUUGCUCUUACGGGUGGCGAGUGGCGGACGGGUGAGGAAUACAUCGGAAUCUACUUUUUCGUGGGGGUUAACGUAGGGAAACUUACGCUAAUACCGCAUACGACCUACGGGUGAAAGCAGGGGAUCUUCGGACCUUGCGCGUUUGAAUGAGCCGAUGUCGGAUUAGCUAGUUGGCGGGGUAAAGGCCCACCAAGGCGACGAUCCGUAGCUGGUCUGAGAGGAUGAUCAGACACACUGGAACUGAGACACGGUCCAGACUCCUACGGGAGGAAGCAGUGGGGAAUAUUGGACAAUGGGCGAAAGCCUGAUCCAGCAAUACCGAGUGGGUGAAGAAGGCCUUCGGGUUGUAAAGCCCUUUUGUUGGGAAAGAAAAGCAGCAGGUUAAUACCCCGCUGUUCUGACGGUACCCAAAGAAUAAGCACCGGCUAACUUCGUG
rnacentral:rRNA from 1 species